rnacentral:lncRNA from 1 species
UUCCAUUACUUUUUUUCUAACUUCUCCCUGACUAUUGAACCACAUGCAAAAGUUUUCACCUUUAGUAAAGACAGGUGGAUUAAUAUACUCCAAAUAGCACAGGUUGGAAUACCUGGGUUUGAACCCUGCUCUUAGCCGUAGAAGACUAAGUAUUUAUAUAAAGUGCAGAUAAUGGUAUCUACCUCACAGCUGUUCAGAAUAAGGGGUGAUGGGGGAGAGGAAGCCACAUAAAGCCCAGAGUACAUGGCACACAAAGUUAGUACAAAAAGUAGUAAUUUCCAGAAUGAGCUCCCAGGCCGGGCACAGUGGCUCAUGCCUGUAAUCCAGCACUUUGGGAGGCCGAGGCAGGUGGA